UUUUUAAAUUUUAUAAUGUUUAAAUUUAAUUUUUAAUGAUAUUGAUUGUUACUGGGAGUGCUGUUAGUGGCUUCAUAAAGCCUCAGGUUGUUGCAUGUGAUCAUUUAUUUGGUUUAAAAUUGUUAAUUUUCUCGUGUAAAAUUUUUUAAAACUUUUGGGAAGUCUAAUUUUUAGGGAAGACUCUGUCGAAAUUUUUUUUAAAUUUAUUCUUUCCUCUAAUUUUUUUAAAUUUAGUUUUUAAUGAUAUUGAUUGUUGCUGGAAGUGCUGUUAGUGGCUUCAUAAGGCCUCAGGUUGUUGUAUGUGAUCAUUUAUUUGAUUUAAAAUUAUCAAUUUUCUCUUGUAAAUUUUUUUUAAAAGUCUUGAGAGAUCCAAUUUUUAGAGGAGAUUCUGCCAAAAUUUUUUCAAAUCUUAAUUUAAUUAGGAGCUUAGUUUCUUAAAAUAGUUUGAAGAUAAUAACAUUAGUUAUAUUCUUUAGGAGGUGACAUAUGGAUCGUAGUUGGAUGAAUGUUAGACGAACGAGUAACAAGUAUGAUAAUGGGGUGAAAGAAUUUUUGGAAUUUGCUAAGAAAAAUGCUGUUGACAAUAGUGAAAGGUUCUAUUGUCCUUGUGUUAAUUGUUUGAAUGAGAGGAGACUAGGUGUUGCUGAAAUAAGAGAGCACUUAGUUUGUGAUGGGAUUUGCAAAAAUUAUACAAUAUGGAUUUGGCAUGGUGAACGAUUGAAAAAUUAUAGUAACACAUCUCAAUGUGUGGGAGUUGAUAAUCUUGAUGAUGAAGUAGAAAUGAAUGAAGAUCGAUUAGAGGACAUGAUCUGUGAUGUUGGGGAAGAGGCUUUUGAAUGAGCACAUGUGUAUGAUAACUUGUACACUAAUUUUAGUUUGUUAUCUGGGGUGUUAAAACUAGUUACCUUAAAGGCAAGAGUUGGGUGGAGUGAUCAAAGUUUCACAUGGUUGUUAGAGUUACUUCAAAUAAUGUUUUCGAAGGGCAAUGUACUACCAAAUCGUUAUUAUGAUGCCAAGAAGAUCUUGUGUCCAAUGGGUAUGAAGUAUAAAAAAAUACACGCAUGUCCUAAUGAUUGUGUGUUGUACAGAAAAGAGCUUGAAGGGGAGGAGAAGUGUCCGAAAUGUGAGGUACCACGGUACAAAGAGAAGGGGGCUCCUACAAAAGUCUUAUGGUAUCUUCUAAUUAUACCAAGGUUCAAGCGUUUGUUUGCAAAUACUAAUGAUGCAAAGAACUUGAUGUGGCAUGCAAAUGAGAGGAUAUCUGAUAGAAAACUUUGACAUCCAGCCGAUUCUCCUCAAUGGAAGAAAAUUGAUCAAUUAUUUCCCGAAUUUGGUAAUGAGCCAAGGAACUUGAGGCUUGGACUUUCUACCGAUGGAAUGAAUCCUUAUGGUAGUCUUAGUAGUAUACAUAGUUCAUGGCCUAUUCUUUUGGUGAUUUACAAUCUAUCACCUAGGUUGUGCAUGAAAUGGAAGUACAUGAUGCUAUCCAUGUUGAUUUCGGGACCAAAACAAUCAGGAAAUGAUAUUGAUAUUUACCUAAGACCUCUGAUUGAAGAUUUGAAAGUGUUGUGGGAGGUAGGUGUGGAAGUGUUUGAUGCAAAUCAGAAGGAGAAUUUUAAGUUACGUGCUAUGAUCUUUUGUACUAUAAAUGAUUUUCCUGCAUAUGGAAAUUUGUCUGGUUAUAGCGUGAAAGGUCAUAAAGCUUGUCCAAUUUAUGAAGAAAGCACAAACUACCAUCAACUUCAAAAUGGAAGGAAGACAGUCUACCUUGGCCAUCGAAGGUUUCUUAGAUGAGAUCACCCAUAUCGUAGAUUGAAGAAAGCUUUUCAUGGUCACCAAGAACAUAAUGAUGCUCCGGAUGCUUUGACUGGGGAUCAAGUAUAUGAACGUGUGAAAAACAUUAAUAUUGUCUUCGGUAAGACUAAAAAGAAUACUGGUGCAAAAAGCAUAUGAAAAAAAAUGUCUAUCUUUUUUGACUUCCUAUAUUGGCGCAAUCUUGAAGUAAGGCAUUGUAUUGAUGUUAUGCAUGUGGAGAAAAAUGUGUGUGAUAGUAUUAUUGGAACGCUUCUGAACAUACCAAGUAAGACUAAGGAUGGUGUGAAUGCAAGAUUGGAUUUGAAAGAAAUGGGAAUACGGGAAGACUUACACCCAAGACCAGAAGGUAAACGAACUUAUUGUCCCCCAGCCUCUCAUACAUUGUGCAAAUAUGAGAAAACAAGUUUUUGUGAGUGUUUACAUGGAAUCAAAGUUCCUUCGGGAUAUUCUUCAAAUAUUAUGAAGCUUGUAUCUGUGAAAGAGUUGAAACUGGUAGGCUUAAAAUCUCAUGAUUGCCAUGUCUUAAUGCAAUAGCUAUUACCUUUGGCUAUUCGAGGCAUAUUGAAAAAAGAUUUAAGACUUACAAUAACUAGACUUUGUUUUUUUUUCAAUGCUACAUGCAGUAAAGUUAUUGAUCCCUGUAAACUGAAAGAGUUAGAACAAGAAGCUUGUACUAUCUUGUGCCAACUUGAGAUGCACUUUCUUCCUACAUUUUUUGACAUUAUGGUUCACUUAAUAGUGCAUCUAGUAAGGGAGGUAAAAUUGUGUGGCCCUGUUUAUUUGUGAUGGAUGUACCCAGUUGAGAGAUACAUGAAAAUACUGAAAGGGUAUGUCAGAAAUCCAUUUUGACCCGAAGCAUCAAUAGUUGAGAAAUAUGUUGCUGAAGAAGCUAUGGAGUUUUGUUCUGAUUACUUGUCAAGUACAGAAUCAAUUGGACUUCCUAAAUCUCGUCAUGAGAAAAGGCAAUAUGGUCAAGGCACACGUGGAGUAUUAGUGAAGAGCAUGAAUUAUGAUGAAUUACAAGAAGCACAUUUAUAUAUCUUGAAUAAUAUUGAUGAAGUUAAAGAUUACAUAUCUUCUCAUAAAGAACUUUUAAAGGCAAAAAAUUAUCGAAUGAGAAUGACAGAACAAAAGUUAUUGAAAGAGCAUAAUAGGACUUUUGUGAAUUGGUUCAAGCAGAAAAUUUUGAAUGAAAGUGGUGUUUCUGAAACAGUUAAAUGGUUGGCUGGAGGUCCUAACUUUGAUGUUAUAUGUUGGAGUGCCUAUGAUAUUAAUGGGUAUUCUUUUUAUACAAAGUCUUUGGAUGAGAAGAGUACGGUGCAAAAUAGUGGAGUUAUGAUAAUGGCUGAAGCCGUACACUUUUCUAGUUCAAAAGAUAUGAAACCUAAACUAGCAUCUAGGACUUACUUUGGGGUUAUUGAAGAGAUUUGGGAGGUUGAUUAUACAAAAUUUAGAGUUCCUGUUUUCAAAUGCAAGUGAGUUGAUGUCAAUAGUAUUCGUGAUAAUAAGUUUGGAUUUACAAUGGUUGAUCUUAAAAAACUAACUUUUGGAGAUAAGCCAUUUAUUAUGGCAGACCAAGCUAAACAAGUUUUCUAUGUCACGAAUCCAGCAAAUAAAAAUUGAUCAAUAGCACUUAAAGGAAAAAGGAUGAUUGAUAGUAAUGACGAUCAUGAAUCAAAUUUUGAUAUUUCUGAAACUCUUAACUUCUCAAGUGGGCUACCAAUUUUGGAUGUGGUAGAUGAAGUAGAUGAUGAACAUGCCAUAAGAAGUGAUCACCAUGAAAGGAUAUGGGAGAAUAUCCCUAUAUGAGUUUAGUUUUGAAAUUAAAGUAUGUUAAUUUAGUUCAAUUAAAUUUAUGUUGUGGGAUUAUUUUUCUUAAUUAUCUUAUCUUUGAUUAUUUUUUAAUUAAUUUCAUUUAUUUGAAUUAAUAAGAAUAUGGAGAAUUAAGGUGAUAACACUCAGAGUCAAUCAAUUGGUGAUGUUGCUCCUAGUGGGGAGCUAAGUCAGGGCACCCCUAGUGAGGAGCCGAGUCAGAGCCAGUCUGUAAGGAGGGGGAGACGUGGCACACGAUUAAGAGAUCUGACAUUAAGUAGGAGUGCUGGGCGUAGGUUACCAAUUCAAUUUGACCGGAGAUGGAAUCUGAUAGGGCCACAUAAAGCCAAGUUUGUUAGUUUUCUUGGCCUCCUAUCGCGUACCAAGCCUCCUAUUGUGUUUGAGGACUGGCCUGAUGUGUCAAAACGUGUGAAGGAACAGAUUUGGAAAAGUAUUCAGAGUCAUAGACAACCGGUGAGGACGAACUUGUGCGGUCUAUAUGUCAUGAGGCACAUGCUCAAUAUUAUCACAUUAGGCAUGACCGAAUUUACAAAAGAGAUGUUUGACAAUUCGGAUGCAUUUUUUAAAGCUGAAAUUGAAGACAUCUGCAUACGUUGGGCAACCUAUUUUGUGGAGAACUUGUGAGGUUUUUUGUUACUUUUAGACAUGUUUUAAUUUUGAUAGUUGACACAAUUUAAAUAAUUAUUAGUUUUUCUAAUAGUUAAAUAGUUUUGUAUAGUUGAUAAAUACUUGAUAAACAAUUGUAAAUGAAUUGAGCUGUUUGAUUUGGCAAUUUUUAUGCAUAGGAAUGGCAAUUUUGACAAUUUAGACAAUUAUUAGUUUUUUUAAUAGUUAAAUAGCUUUGUAUAGUUGAUAAAUACUUGAUAAAAAAUUGUAAAUUAAUUGGGCUGUCUGAUUUGGCAAUUUCUAUGCA